CGCAGGCUCAGAAGUUGAGAGAAUCCAUCCGUGCCACGACCACGUGCCGCGCCACGGAUUCGUACUUCAAGCAGGUGAAGUUUCUCCACGACUCGAUUUCUCCCGCAGAGUGGUGCAUGAGCGGCGGAGGCUUCUUUCGCCUGGACCGGCCACUCAUUGUUUCGAUGAUGUCCGCUCUGAUUACGUACGCGGUCAUUUUGGUGCAAGCCCACCACGAACUCGCGCACCACGAGCCCGCCUUGAACGCUACGUCCUUAAAAUAACUGGAUGGCUUGGUGGUCAUCAUCCGAUUCUGCUGCAAUGAUGCGGUUUAUGUAUCAUCUUCACGUGGUUUAGACGCCAUCACCGAAAAAAACAUUGAAUUACGCACGGGACC